rnacentral:rRNA from 1 species
CCUACGGGUGGCAGCAGUGAGGAAUAUUGGUCAAUGGCCGGGAGGCUGAACCAGCCAAGUCGCGUGAGGGAGGACGGCCCUACGGGUUGUAAACCUCUUUUGUCAGGGAGCAAGGUGCAGGUCGGGACCUGCUGUGAGAGUACCUGAAGAAAAAGCAUCGGCUAACUCCGUGCCAGCAGCCGCGGUAAUACGGGGGAUGCGAGCGUUAUCCGGAUUUAUUGGGUUAAAAGGGUGCGCAGGCGGAGGCACAAGGCAGCGGUAAAAUCGCGGGGCUCAACCCCGCUACGCCGUUGAAACUGGGAGGCUUGAGUAUGUUUGAGGCAGGCGGAAUGCGUGGUGUAGCGGUGAAAUGCUUAGAUAUCACGCAGAACCCCGAUUGCGAAGGCAGCCUGCCAGGCCAUGACUGACGCUGAUGCACGAAAGCGUGGGGAUCAAACAGGAUUAGAUACCCCUGUAGUC